rnacentral:Y_RNA from 1 species
AUCUCCUCCAAGUGCAGUGGGGUUUAUAACUGGUUAGUUACAACCAGUUACAGAUUUCUUUGUUCCUUCUCCACUCUCACUGCUUCACUUGAGCAUUUU